GAUGAAGAACGUAGCGAAAUGCGAUACGUAAUGUGAAUUGCAGAAUUCAGUGAAUCAUCGAAUCUUUGAACGCAUAUUGCGCUCUCUGGUAUUCCGGAGAGCAUGCUUGUUUGAGUAUCAGUAAACACCUCAACUCCCUUUUCUUUUUUGAAAUUGGAGCUGGACUUGAGUGAUCCCAACGCUUUCUUCCAAGAAAGUGGCGGGUUGCUUGAAAUGCUGGUGCAGCUGAACUUUUCUCUGAGCUAUAAGCAUAUCUAUUUAGUCUGCCUAAAAAACAGAUUAUUACCUUUGCUGCAGCUAACAUAAAGGAGACUAGUUCUUGUGCUGACUGAUGCAGGAUUCACAGAGACAGCUUCGGCUGACUUUGUAAACUCGAUCUCAAAUCAAGUAAGACUACCCGCUGAACUUAAGCAUAUCAAUAAGCGGAGGA
rnacentral:misc_RNA from 1 species